rnacentral:misc_RNA from 1 species
GAUGAAGAACGUAGCGAAAUGCGAUACGUAAUGUGAAUUGCAGAUUUCAGUGAAUCAUCGAAUCUUUGAACGCACAUUGCGCCCGCUAGUAUCCUGGCGGGCAUGCCUGUUCGAGCGUCAUUUCAACCAUCAAGCCCUAGGCUUGCGUUGGAGCCCUGCGGCUGCCGCAGGCUCCCAAAUCCAGUGGCGGGCUCGUCGUCGUACCGAGUGCAGUAAACAUCCUCGCUCAGGGAACGUGACGGGUUCUUGCCGUGAAACCCCCCACAUAUCAAGGUUGACCUCGGAUCAGGUAGGAAUACCCGCUGAACUUAAGCAUAUCAAUAAGCGGAGGA